AGUGAACGCUGGCGGUAGGCCUAACACAUGCAAGUCGAACGGCAGCACAGUAAGAGCUUGCUCUUACGGGUGGCGAGUGGCGGACGGGUGAGGAAUACAUCGGAAUCUACUUUUUCGUGGGGGAUAACGUAGGGAAACUUACGCUAAUACCGCAUACGACCUACGGGUGAAAGCAGGGGAUCUUCGGACCUUUCGCGAUUGAAUGAGCCGAUGUCGGAUUAGCUAGUUGGCGUGGUAAAGGCCCACCAAGGCGACGAUCCGUAGCUGGUCUGAGAGGAUGAUCAGCCACACUGGAACUGAGACACGGUCCAGACUCCUACGGGAGGCAGCAGUGGGGAAUAUUGGACAAUGGGCGCAAGCCUGAUCCAGCCAUACCGCGUGGGUGAAGAAGGCCUUCGGGUUGUAAAGCCCUGUUGUUGGGAAAGAAAAGCAGCAGGUUAAUACCCCGCUGUUCUGACGGUACCCAAAGAAUAAGCACCGGCUAACUUCGUG
rnacentral:rRNA from 1 species